rnacentral:rRNA from 1 species
UACGUAGGGGGCUAGCGUUGUCCGGAAUUAUUGGGCGUAAAGAGCUCGUAGGCGGUUUGUCGCGUCUGCUGUGAAAACCCGAGGCUCAACCUCGGGCCUGCAGUGGGUACGGGCAGACUAGAGUGCGGUAGGGGAGAUUGGAAUUCCUGGUGUAGCGGUGGAAUGCGCAGAUAUCAGGAGGAACACCGAUGGCGAAGGCAGAUCUCUGGGCCGUAACUGACGCUGAGGAGCGAAAGCAUGGGGAGCGAACAGG